rnacentral:rRNA from 1 species
AAGCCCCGCAAGGGGUAAGUAGAGUGGCAAACGGGUGAGUAACACGUGGGUGACCUGCCUUCGAGUGGGGGAUAACGUCCCGAAAGGGACGCUAAUACCGCAUAACAUCCUGCUCUUGGACGAGUGGAGAUCAAAGCCGGGGAUCGCAAGACCUGGCACUUGAAGAGGGGCCCGCGCCUGAUUAGCUAGUUGGUGGGGUAAUGGCCUACCAAGGCUACGAUCAGUAUCCGGCCUGAGAGGGCGGACGGACACACUGGGACUGAGACACGGCCCAGACUCCUACGGGAGGCAGCAGUGGGGAAUUGUUCGCAAUGGGCGCAAGCCUGACGACGCAACGCCGCGUGGAGGAUGAAGAUCUUCGGG